GACGAACGCUGGCGGCGUGCUUAACACAUGCAAGUCGAACGGAAAGGCCCUGCUCUUGUGGGGUGCUCGAGUGGCGAACGGGUGAGUAACACGUGAGUAACCUGCCCUUGACUUUGGGAUAACUUCAGGAAACUGGGGCUAUUACCGGAUAGGAGCUCCUGCUGCAUGGUGGGGGUUGGAAAGUUUCGGCGGUUGGGGAUGGACUCGCGGCUUAUCAGCUUGUUUGUGGGGUAGUGGCUUACCAAGGCUUUGACGGGUAGCCGGCCUGAGAGGGUGACCGGCCACAUUGGGACUGAGAUACGGCCCAGACUCCUACGGGAGGCAGCAGUGGGGAAUAUUGCACAAUGGGCGGAAGCCUGAUGCAGCAACGCCGCGUGCGGGAUGACGGCCUUCGGGUUGUAAACCGCUUUCGCCUGUGACGAAGCGUGAGUGACGGUAAUGGGUAAAGAAGCACCGGCUAACUACGUG
rnacentral:rRNA from 1 species